AUUGAACGCUGGCGGCAGGCCUAACACAUGCUAGUCGAGCGGAGCGGCGGUCGGGUGCGUAAUGCUUAGGAAUCUGCCUGGUAGUGGGGGAUAACUUCCGGAAACGGGCGCUAAUACCGCAUCCUAUCAGAUCCGCCUAGGCCGGAUUAGUUAGUUGGUGGGGUAAAGGCCUACAAAGGCGACGACCCGUAACUGGUCUGAGAGGAUGAUCAGUCACACUGGAACUGAGACACGGUCCAGACUCCUACGGGAGGCAGCAGUGGUGAAUAUUGGCCAACGGGCGAAAGCCUGAUCGAGCCCUGCCGCGUGUGUGAAGAAGGUCGUCGGAUUGUAAAGCACUUUAAGUCGGGAGGCGUUACCAACAGAAUAAGCACCGGCUAACUUCGUGCCAGCAGCCGCGGUAAUUC
rnacentral:rRNA from 1 species